UUGCUUUGGUGGCACAUAUACUAAAAUUGGAAUGAUACAGAAAAGAUUAGCCAUGGCCCCUGCCCAAGGAUGACACCUAAAUUCAUGAAGCAUUCCAUGUUUUU
rnacentral:snRNA from 1 species